rnacentral:rRNA from 1 species
CCCUUAGAUGUCCGGGGCCGCACGCGCGCUACACUGAAGGAAUCAGCGUGGCUUUCUCCCUGACCCGAAAGGGUUGGGAAACCCGUUGAAUCUCCUUCGUGAUAGGGAUUGGGGCUUGAAAUUGUUCCCCAUGAACGAGGAAUUCCCAGUAAGCGCGAGUCAUAAGCUCGCGUUGAUUACGUCCCUGCCCUUUGUACACACCGCCCGUCGCACCAAUCGAUUGAGGUAUCUGGUGAAAAUGCAGGAAACCUCUGUGGCAUGCUUCAUUGCAAGCCGUAGAAGAUGAAUGCAUUUAAACCAGGCGCCUUAGAGAAUGGUGAAGUCGUAACA